rnacentral:rRNA from 1 species
AUUGAACGCUGGCGGCAUGCCUUACACAUGCAAGUCGAACGACGGCACGGGGCAACCUGGUGGCGAGUGGCGAACGGGUGAGUAAUGCAUCGGAACGUACCUUUCAGUGGGGGAUAACGUAGCGAAAGUUACGCUAAUACCGCAUAUUCUGUGAGCAGGAAAGCAGGGGAUCGCAAGACCUUGCGCUGAUUGAGCGGCCGAUGUCAGAUUAGCUAGUUGGUGAGGUAAAGGCUCACCAAGGCGACGAUCUGUAGCGGGUCUGAGAGGAUGAUCCGCCACACUGGAACUGAGACACGGUCCAGACUCCUACGGGAGGCAGCAGUGGGGAAUUUUGGACAAUGGGGGCAACCCUGAUCCAGCCAUGCCGCGUGAGUGAAGAAGGCCUUCGGGUUGUAAAGCUCUUUCGGCCGGGAAGAAAUCGCACGGGCUAAUACCCUGUGUGGAUGACGGUACCGGAAUAAGAAGCACCGGCUAACUACGUGCCAGCAGCCGCCGUAAUAC